rnacentral:tRNA from 1 species
GGCUGUAGCUCAGUGGCAAAGCGCUUGCCUAGCAUGCAUGAGGCACUGGGUUCGAUCCUAAACACCA